rnacentral:rRNA from 1 species
UACCAGCACCCCGAGUGGUCGGGACGAUUAUCGGGCCUAAAGCAUCCGUAGCCGGUUCUACAAGUCUUCCGUUAAAUCCACCUGCUUAACAGAUGGGCUGCGGAGGAUACUAUGGAGCUAGGAGGCGGGAGAGGCAAGCGGUACUUAGUGGGUAGGGGUAAAAUCCGUUGAUCCAUUGAAGACCACCAGUGGCGAAGGCGGCUUGCCAGAACGCACUCGACGGUGAGGGAUGAAAGCUGGGGGAGCAAACCGG